GUUAUUUGGUAGUACGUAUAUUAAAACUGGAACGUUACAGAGAAGAUUAGCAUGUCCCCUGCGCAAGGAUGACACGCAAAUUCGUGAAGCGUUCCAUAUUUUC
rnacentral:snRNA from 1 species